UCAGUUCAGACUGCAGGCUGCAACUCGACUGCACGAAGCUGGAAUCGCUAGUAAUCGCGGAUCAGCACGCCGCGGUGAAUACGUUCCCGGGCCUUGUACACACCGCCCGUCACACCAUGGAAGUCUGCAAUGCCCGAAGCCGGUGGCCUAACCACUUAUGUGGAAGGAGCCGUCUAAGGCAGGGCAGAUGACUGGGGUGAAGUCGUAACAAGGUAAC
rnacentral:rRNA from 1 species